rnacentral:rRNA from 1 species
GACGAAGGAUGCAAGCGUUAUCCGGAUUCAUUGGGUUUAAAGGGAGCGUAGGUGGCCUUAUAAGUCAGUGGUGAAAUCUCUGGGCUUAACCCAGAAAUUGCCAUUGAUACUGUAGGGCUUGAGUAUAGUUGCCGUUGGCGGAAUAUGACAUGUAGUGGUGAAAAUACAUAGAGAUGUCAUAGAACACCGAUUGCGAAAGGCAGCUAACGAAACUAUAACUGACACUGAGGCUCGAAAGUGCGGGGAUCAAACAGGG